GAGGGUAUAACUCAGUGGUAGUGUUUGCUUGGCAUGCACAAGGUCCUAGGUUUAAUCCCCAGUACCUCCA
rnacentral:tRNA from 1 species